rnacentral:rRNA from 1 species
AGGGCUUACGGUGAAUGCCUUGGCGUCAAACGCCGAAGAAGGACGUGGCUAGCUGCGAUAAGCCUCGGGGAGCUGCGGCAAGUGCCGAUCCGAGGAUGUCCGAAUGGGGAAACCCACCUGGGGGAAUGCCCAGGUACCGCCUGCUGAACACAUAGGCAGGACGGAGGGAACCGAGGGAACUGAAACAUCUAAGUACCUCGAGGAAAAGAAAUCAUUCCCUGAGUAGUGGCGAGCGAAAAGGGAAUAGCCCAAACUUGUACAGCGUGAUAGCUCGUAGGCGUUGCUGUAUGGGGGUUGUAGGACUCAAUAGAGGUUGCUACGAAAACUUCAAGGAGUUACAAAUUUGGCUGAUAGUUGAACGGCACUGGAAAGGCCGAGCGUAGAGGGUGAUACUCCCGUAAACGAAAUCUGACCAAACUCCUUUUGAUGUUCCUGAGUACCACGGAGCACGCUAACUCUGUGAGAAGCUGGGAAGCCCACUUCCCAAGGCUAAAUACGUUUGACGACCGAUAGUGAACCAGUACCGUGAGGGAAAGGUGAAAAGGACCCCAGUGCGGGGAGUGAAAUAGAACCUGAAACCGUAAGCCUACAAUCAGUCGAAGCACUAUGGGUGGUUACGACCACCAACGUGUGACGGCGUGCCUUUUGGAGAAUGAGCCAGCGAGUUACUUCUCAGUGGCAAGGUUAAGUCAGUUACAGACGGAGCCGUAGCGAAAGCGAGUCUUAAUAGGGCGCAUAACGACAUUUCGGUGUCGUGCAGUCGCUGGGAGUAGACCCGAAACCGGGUGAUCUAUCCAUGGUCAGGGUGAAGCGGGAGUAAUGUCUCGUGGAGGCCCGAACCCACCAAUGUUGCAAAAUUGGGGGAUGAAUUGUGGAUAGAGGUGAAAUGCCAAACGAACCCGGAAAUAGCUGGUUCUCCCCGAAAUAGCUUUAGGGCUAGCCUCAAGCGUUUAGUAUCGGAGGUAGAGCACUGGAUGGGCUAGGGGGCUUAUAGCUUACCAAACCCAACCAAACUCCGAAUGCCGAUACUCCAGAGCUUGGGAGUCGGACGGCGGGAGAUGAGUUUCGUCGUCGAGAGGGAAACAACCCAGAUCACCAGCUAAGGUCCCCAAGUAUAAGCUAAGUGGGAAAGGUUGUGGGGUUACUGAGACAGCCAGGAGGUUGGCUUAGAAGCAGCCAUCCUUUAAAGAGUGCGUAAUAGCUCACUGGUCUAGUGAUCCUGCGCCGAAAAUUUAACGGGGCUCAAGCUUAUCACCGAAGCUGUGGGUUUUCGAUAAGUAGCUGUGCCGAUGAUGAGAAAGCCUUUCUUCAGAUAGUAUCGCUUCGGCGAUGCCUGAUGUCGAUCGGUGAUUAUUGUUUGACGCGCAGUUACAACAACUAUCGUGAGCAGUAGGGGAGCGUUCUGUUCAGCUGGGAAGGUCGACCGUGAGGACGGCUGGAGCGGACAGAAGUGAGAAUGCUGGCAUGAGUAGCGUAAAACAUGUGAGAAACGUGUUCCCCGUAAGUCUAAGGUUUCCGACGGAAGGUUAAUCCGCGUCGGGUUAGUCGGUCCUAAGGCGAGGCCGAAGGGCGUAGCCGAUGGAUAUCCGGUUAAUAUUCCGGAACCACGUCGAGUUGUUUGAGUGAGGGGGGGACGCAGAAGGGUAGUCCAGCCUGUUAUUGGAUUCAGGUGCCAAUCUUUUAGGUGUUGACGCUGGGGUUAAAAGACCAGCUGAGCUGAGGAGUGAUGGCGGUGCGCAUAGCGCCACAAGUGGAUGAUCCCAUACUGCCUAGAAAAGCCCCUAGCAAGACUCACGUGACCGUACCGCAAACCGACACUGGUAGACGGGUAGAAAAUACCAAGGGGAUCGGGAGAACCCUCGUUAAGGAACUAGGCAAAAUAGAUCCGUAACUUCGGGAGAAGGAUCGCCACAUUAGAGUGAGACGACAUGCUUGUUCGAGCUCGAAGUGGUCGCAGUGAAAUGGCUCUGCCGACUGUUUAUCAAAAUCACAGGUCUCUGCUAAACCGAAAGGUGAAGUAUAGGGGCUGACGCCUGCCCAGUGCCGGAAGGUUAAGGGGAGAGGUUAGGUCAUCAGACCGAAGCUUUGAACCGAAGCCCCGGUGAACGGCGGCCGUAACUAUAACGGUCCUAAGGUAGCGAAAUUCCUUGUCGGGUAAGUUCCGACCCGCACGAACGGCGUAACGAGCGGAGCACUGUCUCAACGAGGGACCCGGUGAAAUUGAAGUACGCGUAAAGAUGCGCGUUACCCGCAGAAGGACAAAAAGACCCCGUGGAGCUUUACUGUAGCUUGGCAUUGCGUUAGGGCUUAAUCUGUAGAGGAUAGCUGGGAGACUUUGAAGCUGGGGCGCAAGCCUCGGUGGAGUCGCCGGUGGAAUACCAGCCUGGUUAAGUCUUGGCCCUAACCCGCGUCCGUAAUCCGGCGUGGGGACAGUGCCUGGUGGGCAGUUUGACUGGGGCGGUCGCCUCCUAAAAGGUAACGGAGGCGCGCAAAGGUACCCUCAGGCUGAAUGGAAACCAGCCGAAGAGUGUAAAGGCAUAAGGGUGCUUGACUGCAAGACUUACAAGUCGAGCAGAGACGAAAGUCGGUCUUAGUGAUCCUACGGCUCCGAGUGGAAGGGCCGUGGCUUAACGGAUAAAAGCUACCCCGGGGAUAACAGGCUAGUCUUGCCCAAGAGUCCACAUCGACGGCAAGGCUCGGCACCUCGAUGUCGGCUCGUCGCAUCCUGGGGCUGAAGCAGGUCCCAAGGGUUGGGCUGUUCGCCCAUUAAAGCGGUACGCGAGCUGGGUUCAGACCGUCGUGAGACAGGUCGGUCUCUAUCCUCUGUGGGCGUAGGGAAUUUGAGAGGAUCUGCCCCUAGUACGAGAGGACCGGGGUGGACUGACCUCUGGUGUGCCAGUUGUUCCGCCAGGAGCAUAGCUGGGUAGCUAAGUCGGGCAAGGAUAACCGCUGAAAGCAUCUAAGUGGGAAGCCUGCCUCAAGAUGAGAUUCCCCACCAGGUUAACUGGGUAAGUGCGCCGGAAGACCACCGGCUUGA